rnacentral:sRNA from 1 species
AUGGCUGUCGUCAGCUCGUGUCGUGAGAUGUUGGGUUAAGUCCCGCAACGAGCGCAACCCUUGUCCUAUGUUGCCAGCGGGUAAUGCCGGGGACUCGUAGGAGACUGCCGGGGUCAACUCGGAGGAAGGUGGGGACGACGUCAAGUCAUCAUGCCCCUUACGUCCAGGGCUGCACACAUGCUACAAUGGCCGGUACAAAGGGCUGCUAUCUCGCGAGAGUGAGCGAAUCCCAAAAAACCGGUCUCAGUUCGGAUCGUAGUCUGCAACUCGACUACGUGAAGUCGGAGUCGCUAGUAAUCCCGGAUCAGCAACGCCGGGGUGAAUACGUUCCCGGGCCUUGUACACACCGCCCGUCAAACCACGAAAGUCGGCAACACCCGAAGCCGGUCACCCAACCUUUAUGGAGGGAGCCGUCGAAGGUGGGGUUGGUGAUUGGGGUUAAGUCGUAACAAGGUAGCCGUACCGGAAGGUGCGGCUGGAUCACCUCCUUUCUAAGGAGUACACGUUCGAUUGCGUGCCGCACGUUGCGGUAGGCGAUCGUGCACUCCCAGUCGAUCACUGGUUAUUCGGCGCCGUUCGCAUACUUGCAUCAGUUGAAUGUUCCGAGCUUGCUCGGGAAAUCCUGAUCGGCAGGCUCGGCGAACGACGUGGGACUGUUCCUGUUCCGUCCUCAGGGAGCGGCGCCGUUUGCGCGCCCGAGCGUCCUUUGAGAACUCCAUAGCGAGCACGAGCAUCUGAAAUCUCCAAGCUACAAAGAGCCAACGGUGGAUGCCUUGGCGCCUGAAGCCGAUGAAGGACGUGGGAGGCUGCGAAAAGCCACGGGGAGCUGCCGACCAAGCUUCGAUCCGUGGAUGUCCGAAUGGGGAAACCCGG